GAUGAACGCUGGCGGCGUGCCUAACACAUGCAAGUCGAGCGAUUCUCUUCGGAGAAGAGCGGCGGACGGGUGAGUAACGCGUGGGUAACCUGCCCUGUACACACGGAUAACAUACCGAAAGGUAUGCUAAUACGAGAUAAUAUACUUUUAUCGCAUGGUAGAAGUAUCAAAGCUCCGGCGGUACAGGAUGGACCCGCGUCUGAUUAGCUAGUUGGUAAGGUAACGGCUUACCAAGGCGACGAUCAGUAGCCGACCUGAGAGGGUGAUCGGCCACAUUGGAACUGAGACACGGACCAGACUCCUACGGGAGGCAGCAGUGAGGAAUAUUGGUCAAUGGGCGCAAGCCUGAACCAGCCAUCCCGCGUGAAGGAAGAAUGCGCUACGCGUUGUAAACUUCUUUUCCAGGGGGAGAAUAAUCCUGUCGUGACAGGACUUGACGGUACUCUGGGAAUAAGCAUCGGCUAACUCCGUG
rnacentral:rRNA from 1 species